rnacentral:rRNA from 1 species
GAGUUUGAUCUUGGCUCAGGAUGAACGCUAGCGGCAGGCCUAACACAUGCAAGUCGAGGGGUAGAGGAAGCUUGCUUCCUUGAGACCGGCGCACGGGUGCGUAACGCGUAUGCAAUCUACCUUGUACAGGGGGAUAGCCCAGAGAAAUUUGGAUUAAUACCCCAUAGUGUUAUUGGAUGGCAUCAUUUGAUUAACUAAAGUUCCAACGGUACAAGAUGAGCAUGCGUCCCAUUAGCUAGUUGGUGUGGUAACGGCAUACCAAGGCAAUGAUGGGUAGGGGUCCUGAGAGGGAGAUCCCCCACACUGGUACUGAGACACGGACCAGACUCCUACGGGAGGCAGCAGUGAGGAUAUUGGUCAAUGGGGCAACCCUGAUCCAGCCAAUGCCGCGUGUGUGAAGAAGGCCUG